GAUGGACCACCUCUCACGGCCACAGACACUCGAGCUCGGUGCUCCCACACUUCACUCUUCCACGCAGAGCACCUGUGGCCCGUCCACAGCAUGCACUGUUCCUUUACGUGGACUUUAAUGAACUUGGAAGACUGAACCACAUCUGGGGUUGGGGACAAGAGAGUCAGGAGGGGGGCACACAGAGGGGCCUGAAGGCUAGUCCUGCCUGCUCUGGCCUAUCUCAGAACAGAGACUGAGGGGUCCUCAGUGUGGAGGUAGGGGUGUCUUUAGGUCCACAAGCCCUUGCCUUAGUUACAUGGGAGCUCUAUAGCCAACUCAAAGCCAACUUUCCAUGCGUGACACAUACACAUCUCUGAUCAGAAUGUGCCCCAAACUGCACACACAGAACCUGGCUGUACACUCACUCACGAUGCAUAUAUCCAUCAGCAUACACAGGCUGUGCACUGAGAAUAUAAGUGAGCUGGGGACAGAUAAACCUAUUUGCUCACACCCAGGAAGGGGGCACGUUUCCAGUUCAGCGGUAACUUAGUGGUCAGGGUGACACUGGGAGCAGAACUUGGUAGGGAAAGGGACAGAGCACCUACAUCUACCCACUCAGAUUAAUUUCCUCUGCCAAAACUGGGACUGAGGUUGGAGUAGAAGAGUCCCCAAGUCUCAGAAGUGAAUAUUAUACCUAAAAAAAUCUGCACCAAGAAAGACAGUCAACCCAACAGCCAUUCCAUUUGCCUGCCAAGAGGAACUCUAUCCUGCCUGUAUCAAACACGGAGCUAGUGUCUGACCACAUGAGUUCUCACAUGGAGAUCUUUUUAUGUGAAUACAAGAGAUGCAUACAGUUCUAGAAAUAAUAUGUACAGAUGUAUCGAUCCUGACACAUAGACAGAGAGAUAAAGAACAGGACACCCCUCUCCUGCUUCUGAGUAGCCAUAACAAGCUGACAUACUAGCUUUGCCUCCAGCCUGGAAGAGACUGGUGCCUUGGAAGAUUCGUGGUUAUGACAGUUUAUCAUUGGUUCUUGUAGAGAUAAUACAAGCCACCAACUGAAGGCAUUUGGGCGGGUUAGAGAGAGACUUUGGGGGUGAAGGGCUGUACCUCUAGGGCUCAGGUUCCAAAUGUGAGAGAGAGUGGUAGCUAGACAUGCCUGGCUAAUGUAUACAGACUAAAAAAAUGUAUACAAACUGGUCCCAGGUACACAGGUACACAAAGAUCCUGCAGAAGGCCAGUAGUGUGAUGUCCAAUCUCAGUGUUCAGAGGAGCAGUGGGGGAGAAGAUGAGGGCACAGGACAUUUCCUUGCAUACACAGCUCCAGGGGGGUUGUGGUUUAAUCAUCACAUGGGAGAGCUACAGAGAUAGGAAAGUAUACACAGAGAAAGAUAUCGCAUAUAAGGUAGCUGUCCCUCCCGUGUGGUGCCUGUGUGGGAAAGGCGUCCUUGGUUCCCUGACUGAACAGAAGGAAGGACAACGCAGAAGAAAGGACCCCAUCCCAGCUCUGCCCUGUGGGAGCUGGCUGACAGUCUCCGCAGCUGCUGUGACCUCCACUGGGCUCCUGUGCCUCGCAGCAUCCCCCUCUUCCACUGGAAGUUUGUCUUUCUGACUCUGUUCUGCCAUCCUCCCGCUUCUGCCUCCUCAGCUCUCUCACUAAACAUAGCCACAAAGAAACUGGCUGGAUGCAGGAGUGAAGGCCAAUAAAGAUGCUCAAGGUAGCUGUGGAGUCUUGAGUAACAAACCCUGUAUGAAACGUAGGGGAUUUUUUGUUGUUGUUUGUUUUUUUGUCUUUUUUUUUUUCUGCAUAGACAUCGAAAUAAAACCCUGAGGUUGUUUCCUUU